UGGGGAAUAUUGCACAAUGGGCGCAAGCCUGAUGCAGCCAUGCCGCGUGUGUGAAGAAGGCCUUCGGGUUGUAAAGCACUUUCAGCGAGGAGGAAGGCAGUCGUGUUAAUAGCACGAUUGAUUGACGUUACUCGCAGAAGAAGCACCGGCUAACUCCGUGCCAGCAGCCGCGGUAAUACGGAGGGUGCAAGCGUUAAUCGGAAUUACUGGGCGUAAAGCGCACGCAGGCGGUUUGUUAAGUCAGAUGUGAAAUCCCCGCGCUUAACGUGGGAACUGCAUUUGAAACUGGCAAGCUAGAGUCUUGUAGAGGGGGGUAGAAUUCCAGGUGUAGCGGUGAAAUGCGUAGAGAUCUGGAGGAAUACCGGUGGCGAAGGCGGCCCCCCUGGACAAAGACUGACGCUCAGGUGCGAAAGCGUGGGGAGCAAAACAGGAUUAGAUACCCUGGUAGUCCACGCUGUAAACGAUGUCGACUUGGAGGUUGUGCCCUUGAGGCGUGGCUUCCGGAGCUAACGCGUUAAGUCGACCGCCUGGGGGAGUACGGCCGCAAGGUUAA
rnacentral:rRNA from 1 species